rnacentral:rRNA from 1 species
GUGGGGAAUAUUGGACAAUGGGCGAAAGCCUGAUCCAGCCAUGCCGCGUGUGUGAAGAAGGUCUUCGGAUUGUAAAGCACUUUAAGUUGGGAGGAAGGGCAUUAACCUAAUACGUUAGUGUUUUGACGUUACCAACAGAAUAAGCACCGGCUAACUUCGUGCCAGCAGCCGCGGUAAUACGAAGGGUGCAAGCGUUAAUCGGAAUUACUGGGCGUAAAGCGCGCGUAGGUGGUUCAGCAAGUUGGAGGUGAAAUCCCCGGGCUCAACCUGGGAACUGCAUCCAAAACUACUGAGCUAGAGUACGGUAGAGGGUAGUGGAAUUUCCUGUGUAGCGGUGAAAUGCGUAGAUAUAGGAAGGAACACCAGUGGCGAAGGCGACUACCUGGACUGAUACUGACACUGAGGUGCGAAAGCGUGGGGAGCAAACAGGAUUAGAAACCCGAGUAGUCC